CUUCCACAUCCAAUGAAUCAAGAUUCCUAAGUGUCUCUUGAAUUUAUACCUCUUUCCAUCUCCACCUGGGAGCUCAAGGCAGCAUAUUUAAAUAGUCUCCCUACCGACUGACUUAACUUUACCUCCUUCUCUCGCUGUCUGUCUUCUUCUCCUUGAAGGCCUACUAAUUUGCUGUGAAGUCAAACCUGAUCACGUUUGUUCCCUCCUCGUCUCCUGGUUAGAAUCCUUCAGUGGAUUUUAUGGCUGUAUGAUGUGGCUGAAUCCAGUUCACGUGGAGAAGGGGUGAAGCUGAGAAGUCCAGUCGCUCAGUUGUGUUUGACUCUCUGUGACCCCAUGGACUGCAGCACGCCAGGCCUCCCAACCCAUCGCCAACUCCCAGAGCUGGCUGAAACUCGUUUGAAGCUGAGAAGACUACUCUCUGCAAUCAAUAAACACCAUAAAUGUAGGAUUCUUGUGAAAGUGAGAGAGCCUACACAAAAAAUUCCUCUUCAAAACACUGAUAUGAAAUACUGCCUGAGGAGCUUCCCAGGCAGAUUCUUUACCAUCUGAGCCACCAGGAAAGCCCACUGUCUACAUGAGAAAAGGAGUUUAGGACACAGACACAUGGAGAGAAGACCACGUGAUGUGGUUGGAAGCAGAUGGCCAUCUACGAGAAUGUCCUUACACCCUCACAGGGAGAAACGCAGAGAUGGAACUGUUCACCUGCUUCCUGUAAAAUUAAGAAACAGAAAUCUCAGAGCUGGGACACCAUUAAGGGGAGCUCUCACAC
ensembl:lncRNA